UACGUAGGGUGCGAGCGUUGUCCGGAAUUAUUGGGCGUAAAGAGCUCGUAGGCGGUUUGUCGCGUCUGCCGUGAAAGUCCGGGGCUCAACUCCGGAUCUGCGGUGGGUACGGGCAGACUAGAGUGAUGUAGGGGAGACUGGAAUUCCUGGUGUAGCGGUGAAAGUGCGCAGAUAUCAGGAGGAACACCGGUGGCGAAGGCGGGUCUCUGGGCAACAACUGACGCUGAGGAGCGAAAGCGUGGGGAGCGAACAGGAUAGAA
rnacentral:rRNA from 1 species